CAGCAGCCGCGGUAAUACGGAGGGAGCUAGCGUUAUUCGGAAUUACUGGGCGUAAAGCGCACGUAGGCGGCUUUGUAAGUAAGAGGUGAAAGCCCAGAGCUCAACUCUGGAAUUGCCUUUUAGACUGCAUCGCUUGAAUCAUGGAGAGGUCAGUGGAAUUCCGAGUGUAGAGGUGAAAUUCGUAGAUAUUCGGAAGAACACCAGUGGCGAAGGCGGCUGACUGGACAUGUAUUGACGCUGAGGUGCGAAAGCGUGGGGAGCGAACAGGAUUAGAUACCCGUGUAGUCCCUGUCUCUUAUAC
rnacentral:rRNA from 1 species